CGCGGCCUAUCAGCUUGUUGGUGGGGUGAUGGCCUACCAAGGCGACGACGGGUAGCCGGCCUGAGAGGGUGACCGGCCACACUGGGACUGAGACACGGCCCAGACUCCUACGGGAGGCAGCAGUGGGGAAUAUUGCGCAAUGGGCGAAAGCCUGACGCAGCGACGCCGCGUGAGGGAUGACGGCCUUCGGGUUGUAAACCUCUUUCAGCAGGGACGAAGCGGAAGUGACGGUACCUGCAGAAGAAGCACCGGCCAACUACGUGCCAGCAGCCGCGGUAAUACGUAGGGUGCAAGCGUUGUCCGGAAUUAUUGGGCGUAAAGAGCUCGUAGGCGGUCUGUCGCGUCGGCUGUGAAAACCCGAGGCUCAACCUCGGGCCUGCAGUCGAUACGGGCAAACUUGAGUGUUGCAGGGGAGACUGGAAUUCCUGGUGUAGCGGUGAAAUGCGCAGAUAUCAGGAGGAACACCGGUGGCGAAGGCGGGUCUCUGGGCAACAACUGACGCUGAGGAGCGAAAGCGUGGGGAGCGAACAGGAUUAGAUACCCUGGUAGUCCACGCCGUAAACGUUGGGCGCUAGGUGUGGGGGCCAUUCCACGGUCUCCGUGCCGCAGCUAACGCAUUAAGCGCCCCGCCUGGGGAGUACGG
rnacentral:rRNA from 1 species